rnacentral:rRNA from 1 species
GAUGAACGCUGGCGGCGUGCCUAAUACAUGCAAGUCGAGCGAACAGACGAGGAGCUUGCUCCUCUGAUGUUAGCGGCGGACGGGUGAGUAACACGUGGAUAACCUACCUAUAAGACUGGGAUAACUUCGGGAAACCGGAGCUAAUACCGGAUAACAUGUUGAACCGCAUGGUUCAACAGAGAAAGACGGUCUUGCUGUCACUUAUAGAUGGAUCCGCGCCGCAUUAGCUAGUUGGUAAGGUAACGGCUUACCAAGGCAACGAUGCGUAGCCGACCUGAGAGGGUGAUCGGCCACACUGGAACUGAGACACGGUCCAGACUCCUACGGGAGGCAGCAGUAGGGAAUCUUCCGCAAUGGGCGAAAGCCUGACGGAGCAACGCCGCGUGAGUGAAGAAGGUCUUCGGAUCGUAAAACUCUGUUAUUAGGGAAGAACAAAUGUGUAAGUAACUAUGCACGUCUUGACGGUACCUAAUCAGAAAGCCACGGCUAACUACGUG